CCUACGGGGCGCAGCAGUGGGGAAUAUUGCGCAAUGGGCGAAAGCCUGACGCAGCGACGCCGCGUGAGGGAUGAAGGUCUUCGGAUCGUAAACCUCUGUCAGCAGGGAAGAACGGUCACUGUGCUAAUCAGCAGUGAAUUGACGGUACCUGCAAAGGAAGCACCGGCUAACUCCGUGCCAGCAGCCGCGGUAAUACGGAGGGUGCGAGCGUUAAUCGGAAUUACUGGGCGUAAAGCGCUCGUAGGCGGUAUGUCAAGUCAAGGGUGAAAUCCCCGCGCUCAACGUGGGAACUGCCUUUGAAACUGGCAAACUGGAGUGUGUGAGAGGAUAGUGAAAUUCCAGGUGUAGGAGUGAAAUCCGUAGAUAUCUGGAGGAACAUCAGUGGCGAAGGCGACUAUCUGGAACAUAACUGACGCUGAGGAGCGAAAGCGUGGGUAGCAAACAGGAUUAGAUACCCGGGUAGUC
rnacentral:rRNA from 1 species